AUGCAUGUCGGUACGAUCAUGGAGUCGAAUGAUGCGACUUUCUUUGAAGAUAUAUUUCCCAUGAAGGAUAUGGCUACCUCAUCUAAUCAGGAUAUGCCUAGUUCAUCGAAUCAGGAACCAGUUACAAUUACCGAACCUGCCAUUUCGAUGGAACACUAUGAAAGUCAUGUGGAGGAGAACAAUGAAGUUCCUAUUAGGAGCAAGAGACAAAGGACUGCAAAGUCCUUUGGUGAUGAUUUUCUUGUGUAUCUCAUAGAUGACACUCCCAGUUCUAUUUCAGAGGCCUAUGCAUCGGAAGAUGCUAACUACUGGAAGGAAUCGGUUCGUAGCGAGAUGGAUUCCAUCUUGGCGAAUGAAACUUGGGAGAUAACUGAUCGUCCUUAUGGGUGCAAACCUAUAGGAUGCAAAUGGGUAUUCAAGAAGAAGCUUAGGCCUGAUGGUACUAUUGAAAAGUACAAGGCUCGGCUCAUGGCAAAGGGUUAUACCCAAAAGGAAGGUGAAGACUUCUUUGAUACUUACUCACCUGUGGCUCGACUAACCACUAUUCGAGUUCUACUUUCACUAGCUGCCUCACAUGGUCUUCUCGUUCAUCAAAUGGAUGUUAAGACUGCUUUCCUAAAUGGAGAGUUGGAUGAGGAAAUUUAUAUGCAACAACCAGAUGGGUUUGUAAUAGAUGGUCAGGAAGGGAAAGUGUGCAAGUUGAUGAAAUCUUUGUAUGGACUGAAGCAAGCACCCAAAUAG
rnacentral:rRNA from 1 species